CUGAGGAUAUCUUGCUGUUCUGAUUUUAUAAUAGAACAGGCUAAAGAUUGACUAUAUUAAGACCACUCAUGUUUCCCCAGUCCUAAUUCUUUCCCCAGGUCUGGUUUUACAAACGCUGGUAAUAAAC
ensembl:snoRNA SNORA72 Small nucleolar RNA SNORA72